GUGUAUAGAGGUGGCGUGUAUAGAGGUGGCGUGUAUAGAGGUGGCGUAGAUGGAGGUGGCGUGUAUGGAGGUGGCGUGUAUAGAGGUGGCGUGUAUAGAGGUGGCGUGUAUAGAGGUGGCGUGUAUAGAGGUGGUGUGUAUAGAGGUGGUGUGUAUAGAGGUGGUGUGUAUAGAGGUGGUGUAUAUAGAGGUGGUGUAUAUAGAGGUGGUGUAUAUAGAGGUGGUGUGUAUAGAGGUGGUGUGUAUAUAGAGGUGGUGUGUAUAUAGAGGUGGUGUGUAUAUAGAGGUGGUGUGUAUAUAGAGGUGGUGUGUAUAGAGGUGGUGUGUAUAGAGGUGAUGUGUAUAGAGGUGGUGUAUAUAGAGGUGGUGUAUAUAGAGGUGGUGUAUAUAGAGGUGGUGUAUAUAGAGGUGGUGUGUAUAGAGGUGGUGUAUAUAGAGGUGGUGUGUAUAGAGGUGGUGUGUAUAGAGGUGGUGUAUAUAGAGGUGGUGUGUAUAGAGGUGGUGUGUAUAGAUGUGGUGUGUAUAGAGGUGGUGUGUAUAGAGGUGGUGUGUAUAGAGGUGGUGUAUAUAGAGGUGGUGUGUAUAGAGGUGGUGUAUAUAGAGGUGGUGUGUAUAGAGGUGGUGUGUAUAGAGGUGGUGUGUAUAGAGGUGGUGUAUAUAGAGGUGGUGUGUAUAGAGGUGGUGUGUAUAGAGGUGGUGUGUAUAGAGGUGGUGUAUAUAGAGGUGGUGUGUAUAGAGGUGGUGUAUAUAGAGGUGGUGUGUAUAUAGAGGUGGUGUGUAUAUAGAGGUGGUGUGUAUAG
rnacentral:lncRNA from 1 species